GGAGGCGUGCCUGAAAGAUAGGGACUUCCUUGAUAGGGAAACCAAUAUGGGUUCAAACCCCCUCACCUCCU
rnacentral:tRNA from 1 species